UACGAAGGGUGCUAGCGUUGUUCGGAAUUACUGGGCGUAAAGCGCGCGUAGGUGGCUAUCCAAGUCAGAGGUGAAAUGCCGGGGCUUAACCCUGGAACUGCCUUUGAAACUAGAUAGCUAGAGUACUGGAGGGGUUGGCGGAAUUCCUAAUGUAGCGGUGAAAUGCGUAGAUAUUAGGAGGAACACCGGUGGCGAAGGCGGCCAACUGGACAGUAACUGACACUGAGGCGCGAAAGCGUGGGGAUCAAACAGG
rnacentral:rRNA from 1 species